AAGCAGCGAACGCAAACGAAACGAAGUAAAGUUUCGAAAAUAACCGCGUUCUUUGGGUUCUCCUCGUGCAGCCAAGUGUGGCAAGUUUAAAUACGAUUCGGUCGUCAGCUGAUUCGGAAGUGAUUCUUGACUUGGUCAGAACUUUCAGUUUCAUUCUCUUCGUGCCUUCCCUAGAGUUUUCUAAGCGUCAGUCUCUUGCUCUCCUAAUCUUCCGCCGCCGAUACGAUCCACAUCUACCCUACCGAUGGCCCCGUUAGUUCGUAGCACAAGUACGAUGUCGCUCGUUCCGGUGCAGUACCGCAGCUGGUGGGACGACUGGGAUUUGCCGCUCUACACCCGGGUUCUGGAGAAAUCCAUCACCCAGGAGGUGCUGGCCGAUGAUCCGUUCUACUGGCGUCAUCCACCAUUGCCACCGCUACGCUGGUCCAGCCUGUGGCGUCCGUGGAGAUAUUUCAGCCUUCGGGAUGUCGGAUCCCGGAUCGAUUCGGAUCGGGACAAGUACACCAUCGAGGUCGACGUGCAUCAGUUCGCUCCGCAUGAGGUCACCGUACGAAAAACGGACAAGUACGUGACCAUCGAGGGCAAGCAUGAGGAAAAACGGGACGAGUUGGGCUAUGUUACGAGACAAUUCUCCCGCCGAUACUUGGUUCCGAUUGGUUACGACGCAAGCCUGAUCGUCUCUUCACUCUCCUCGGACGGAGUGUUAACCGUUACUGCCCCCCGGAUUGGCAUGCCAGCGCCAAAGGUCGAGAAAUACGUUCCCAUCUGGCACACCGGAAAACCUGCCAUCGAGGAUAAGAAGUAAUCCCGAACACAGGGGAACCAGAGUCGUCGAAAUUAUCGAAAACCCGAAUCCUUGAAAAUCUAUAUGCCAUGACCGAUCGAUUAAGCCAAGUACACCACAAGCACCGGAAGCGAAAUUUGGCACCUGCAAAGUUUUGUGAUUGGAUUCUACUACCCGUAAAACUUUUCGACACCCGCUCGACACUCACCUUCAAACGCGACAAGCACAAGUUCAACGUGGUAGCAGCACGAUAAAAUGUUUUAGUUUCGAGGUAGGAUUGGUGUUAUCAUUUUGAAUACGAUACGAAUACACUUGGCGAUACACAAUUAGAUACACUAACGGUGCACAUACACACACACACACACACAUACUCCAAAGAUCUGUGGUGAGACGAAAAUAUGAAAUUAAAUUAUUACGUAAUAAGCGAACUAAGAACCAAAUCGGCAAAACCAAUGUGAUUCAAUAUUCGUUGCUUAGUAAUAUUCUGUUGAUAGCUUGUUUUGAAAAUUAGAUGAAAUAUACGACACGUUUUCCGAAAAAUA